AACGAACGCUGGCGGCAUGCCUAAUACAUGCAAGUCGAACGAGUGGCGGACGGGUGAGUAAUGCUUGAGCAUCUGGCUUAUGGAGGGGGAUAACUACGGGAAACUGUGGCUAAUACCGCGUACGAUAGUAUGGGCUCUAGUGGGAUUAGGUAGUUGGUGUGGUAAAGGCUCACCAAGCCGACGAUCUCUAGCUGGUCUGAGAGGCUGAACGGCCACAUUGGGACUGAGACACGGCCCAGACUCCUACGGGAGGCAGCAGUGGGGAAUAUUGCGCAAUGGAGGAAACCUGACCCAGCCACGCCGCGUGAAUGAAGAAGGCCUUCGGGUUGUAAAGUUCUUUCGUUAGCGAAGCGGUAACUACAGAAAAAGCACCGGCUAACUCCGUGCCAGCAGCCGCGGUAAUAC
rnacentral:rRNA from 1 species